rnacentral:tRNA from 1 species
UGAGGUGUAGCUCAGUCGGCAGAGCGCCCGGUUGUUACCCGGGUCCGCGCAGGUUCGAGUCCUGCCACCUCAG